rnacentral:rRNA from 1 species
UACGUAGGGUGCAAGCGUUAAUCGGAAUUACUGGGCGUAAAGCGUGCGCCGGCGGUUUUGUAAGUUUGUCGUGAAAUCCCCGGGCUUAACCUGGGAAUUGCGAUGAAGACUGCAAGGCUAGAAUCUGGCAGAGGGGGGUAGAAUUCCACGUGUAGCAGUGAAAUGCGUAGAGAUGUGGAGGAACACCGAUGGCGAAGGCAGCCCCCUGGGUCAAGAUUGACGCUCAUGCACGAAAGCGUGGGGAGCAAACAGG